rnacentral:tRNA from 1 species
GCGGACGUGGCGAAACUGGUAGACGCAACGGUCUUAAACACCGUCGCCCAACGGCUUACGGGUUCGAGUCCCGUCGUCCGCACCA